rnacentral:rRNA from 1 species
CCUAUGCUGCCGAGAAAAGCCUCUAGUGAGUUCAUACACGGCCCGUACCCCAAACCGACACAGGUGAUCAGGUAGAGAAUACCAAGGCGAUCGAGAGAACUGUGGUUAAGGAACUCGGCAAAAUGCCCCCGUAACUUCGGGAGAAGGGGGACCAUGCCCGGUGAACAUCUUCACGGUGGGAGCUGGGUGUGGUCGCAGAGACCAGAGAGAAGCGACUGUUUACUAAAAACACAGGUCCGUGCGAAGACGUAAGUCGAUGUAUACGGACUGACGCCUGCCCGGUGCUGGAAGGUUAAGAGGACCGGUUAGCCGUAAGGCGAAGCUGAGAAUUUAAGCCCCAGUAAACGGCGGUGGUAACUAUAACCAUCCUAAGGUAGCGAAAUUCCUUGUCGGGUAAGUUCCGACCUGCACGAAUGGCGUAACGACUUCUCUGCUGUCUCGACCACAGACUCGGCGAAAUUGCACUACGAGUAAAGAUGCUCGUUACGCGCGGCAGGACGAAAAGACCCCGGGACCUUUACUAUAGCUUGGUAUUGGCGUUCGAUUCGGUUUGUGUAGGAUAGGUGGGAGACUGUGAAGCAUGCACGCCAGUGUGUGUGGAGUCGUUGUUGAAAUACCACUCUGAUCGUAUUGGACGUCUAACCUCGGCCCAUGAUCUGGGUUAGGGACAGUGCCUGGUGGGUAGUUUAACUGGGGCGGUUGCCUCCUAAAGAGUAACGGAGGCGCCCAAAGGUUCCCUCAGCCUGGAUGGCAAUCAGGUGUUGAGUGCAAGUGCACAAGGGAGCUUGACUGUGAGACUGACACGUCGAGCAGGGACGAAAGUCGGGACUAGUGAUCCGGCACCGGCAAGUGGAAGCGGUGUCGCUCAACGGAUAAAAGGUACCCCGGGGAUAACAGGCUGAUCUUCCCCAAGAGUCCAUAUCGACGGGAUGGUUUGGCACCUCGAUGUCGGCUCGUCGCAUCCUGGGGCUGGAGUAGGUCCCAAGGGUCGGGCUGUUCGCCCAUUAAAGCGGCACGCGAGCUGGGUUUAGAACGUCGUGAGACAGUUCGGUCUCUAUCCGCCGCGCGCGUAAGAAACUUGAGGAAGGCUGUCCCUAGUACGAGAGGACCGGGACGGACGAACCUCUGGUGUGCCAGUUGUUCCACCAGGAGCAUGGCUGGUUAGCUACGUUCGGAAGGGAUAACCGCUGAAAGCAUCUAAGCGGGAAGCCUGUUCCAAGAUGAGGUUUCUCACCACCUUGCGUGGUUAAGGCCCCCUACAGACCAUGGGGUUGAUAGGCCGGAACUGGAAGCGCAGCAAUGCGUGGAGGUGACCGGUACUAAUAGGCCGAGGGC